GCCCCGCGCCUCAGGGAGGCGGGCGGGAAAGCCCUGAGGGGGGAGCCGGGGUAUGGCUGGGGUGACCCGGCCGCAGCGAGCCCCGUGGUGGUUUGCUGUCAAAAAAAAAAAAAAAAAAAAAAAAACACGUUUGGGAACAUUCUGGCUGGCUGCUCCCACCUCCACCCCCCCCCCAAACCUUAGUUUGGUGGUAGGAGAAGCCAUAUUGCUGAGCUAAUCCGGGUUUAAAAAUAGCACAAAGUAACACAAAACAACACAAAACUGCACUUUUUUUGGUACCUGAGGUCUAACAUUUCCUUGUGUUGUGGCAUCAAGGUUCAGAAACCUGUAUCGGGACCCCGGCCCUGUCACAGGAAGGUGUCUGCAUUCAAGGGCAGCCUGUGGUUUCAGUGGGAACCUGAAGCGUAAAGCACUUAAAGCUCAGGAAAAAGGAAAAAAAAUACAAAAAAAAAUGGUACAAAAUAGUAAAAAUGGAUCUAAGCGUGAUUUAUAGGUGGGAGUCUUAAGGAGGGACUUCAGGCUGAUGCACUGAAACUGUCAAAUUUAAGACGCGUUCUCCUCAAGUAAAGAAUGGCGUGGAAAGUGCAACGUGGACGGGUGCUCGAGAGAAAAGUCAACAGAAGCUGCUUUACAGCAGCCUGGAAAGCAAAAUAUUUUCACUAAUGUUCCCUUCAUAAAGAUCUUAGAUGACGUCAGCCUGCCAUCUGUGCCUAGUAGAAACCUCAUCCUUGGGUAUGUCACUGUACUAAAAAUGAUAAUAUUUUUCUCAUUUUACUAAUAUCCAAUACUGGAAUUUUACAGCUUCCCUUGGAGCAUGCAAUACCAAUCCCUCUAAAAUGGAACAUAUCUCACAUGCCUACCAGCUCCCAGCACUCUGCAAAUUGUAUAAACUAAUAGCCAAAUAUAGAAAUAACUUCAUCCCAUCGGCGGAAUGAAGCACAGCCACCAAUUUUUCUAUUAUCAAAUACAAUAAAGCGAUUGUAAAUGGCUUCCUAGGGCAGGAAGUUAUGACCACACGACAACCAUCCGAAGAUGCAAGAAUAUGGAAAGCACAGGACGAAAACCUCUCAGAGACGUGCGUCGUCUGCAGAGCCAGCCGAGGCAAUUGGCAUGCAUGUCAGGUCAGCGCGGGAUCGAAUGUCCACUCUGCAGUCACACUCCAGUUGUUGCCUCUGCAGUGCCCCUGCAUUUCUCUGGGAGCUCUGCAGCCACGUGCACGCUCUCACAGGGCAUUUUUGGGGGGGAAAAAACACCUCUGCUUUUUGCACCAAUGUCGUCUUAGCCCAUAGACUCGGUUACUCUGAGUUUGGGGUGCUCUGGAUUUCCAUUGUUGGUCUCCCAUAGGUACAAACUGUGGAUCUGGGCCAAACGAUGACUUCCACCGGUUGCUGAGAUGAGUGUAGCUUUCGCUGCAGGGCCACGGAGGUGUCUUGGCGGGGGCUUGCUGCUCUGUGAAGACAGGGUAAUGCCCUGCCAGUGCAGGCAGACGUAGAGGCAGCUGAUGCGGACUGGAAUAGCUGUGGAAUUCCCUUGUGCUAAUCAGCAGUUUUGGAACGGGGCCACAAGCACGGAGGGCUGGGCCUGUGCCACCCGGCAGGCCUGGUGCAACCUGCAGUGGGCUGGAAGGAGGAAGGUCACUUCCCUGUGCAUCACAGGAAGGUAGAGUCACGUGAGACACCAAAAAACUCUCGUAAUGGUAGGAUGACAGAAUACUGGAAGGCCUUCCGGAGGCUCUGGAGUCUCCCCCGUUGAAGGUUUUAAGAACAGGUUGGGCAAAUGCUGCUCAGGAAUGCUGUAGGUAGAGUUGCUCUUGCCUCAGGGAGAGGGGUGGCUGACAUGACGUCUCAGGGUCCAAUCUGGCUGCAUAUUUCCCUGGCCACAUGUUGCUAAUUGGUUUGGAGUGGGCAGAUGAACCUGUGGGCUUGUGAAAGCGCACCUCUACAGGGCAGUGGCUGUUGAGUGUGCUUGGCUGGGGCUAACACGUGCUCGUUUCUUCACCACACCUCUCACUUAUGUGAAAAGAAGAGAGCAGACAGGACCCAAAGCUCUUGACAGGGAACGACGUUCGUUUGGGAUGCACCAAAAGGGGCCUCGAGAGGCAAAUUUUCCCAGUAUGAACGAACUGACGCUGCCUCAGGAAAACUCAGCAUCAGCACUUGUUUCCCCAGGUUCUCGUGGAGAUCCAGCGAAGCCCAGGCUGCCUCAUGUCAUAGACCCACGGGGUAAGGGUUGGCACAAGGCUAACUGCAAGUACAAAUGCGCAUUUUGCCAGCAGAAGGGUAGGGAGCUUGGCUCACACCCUGCGGGGAUGCCAGGGCUGGUCAGGACUUGUCACAUCCAGCAGAGAGAAGGAGGGGAGGAGGUUAGCUGGCUGAAGGCAAAUGGUGCGUGGUGGGAAAAGGGAGUUCUGGUGGGCAGGCCCAGAAAGGCUUAAAUCUUCACAUCCUUGCUCUGGGAAAACGUGGAAGGGAUAGCGUGGGGAUGAAGUUAGCCAUCUACCUGACAGAUGUGCCUGCUCAGGUGCUCCGAGGCUGUGGGAGAGACGUCGGGGGACUCUGUACAAGGUGCUUUAGCCAUUCACCUUGUCUUUGGCUGCUGAAUUCUGGUCCAGAGCAAAAAAAAACACAGUAACAAGGAAGAAUUGCCUAGCAAAGGGUGAAAGCGUGAGGGGACUGGGAGUGCCUGUGUCAAUCAGCUGCUCCCUUUUGUAGGAGGGGUGGCUUAGAAGUGGCAGCGUAAGAAGUGGCUUUUGGGCUAUGGCCAGCGGCAUCAGGUCUGCCCUAAAAGCACCACCUUGGGUGACAGAUCUGAUGUUUUCAGGUGCUGUGGUGGGGUCAGUGCAUAAAUACGAGCCCAAGGUCAGCCUGCAGUGAAGAUUUCUCUGCAGGUGUGUGGCUAUGUUACAGCCAGGUUUGUAAGUGAGAAAAAAAUAAGGAUUUUUAGGGGUCACGGAGAUGAUGUGUUCAAAAGAGAAUGAGACACGUGCCCAUGCUAGCAUGCUUAGCGCAGCUCACAGACCAGCUCAACCCAAAACAUUGCUCCCAUCAGCUGAGCCCAUGUGGGGAGGAGGGAGAUGAUUUCUCCAAAGAGUGUUUUGGAGACACAGGUGUAGCUUUAGGACCUGCUGAACGCGCCGACUUGCUUGUUUGAUGACAGCAGACAUUACAGGGAGCGGGGGCCUGCUAUCUCCCUGGGUUUCUACAGGAAGGUUGGUCUCUGGUGUGCUGGAGAUGAAGGAGCUGCACGUGGUCGUGCAGCGGAAGACAUGUUCCUGGCAGCAGCUCUGUUCUGAGUCUGUUUCCUCCAAAAUGUCCUAGCUGCCUCAGAGUUAAAAAAUCUGCUGCUGCCUGCUGGCACUUCCUAGCUGCCUGCGCUUGCAAGCGGUACGAGGAGGAAACCCAGCCACUGUGCAACUUGGAUCAUCAGGAGAGAAAAAGCGGAUCCGUCUUUUUUUCUUGCCCGUGGAGUUUUCGUGCAUCUCAAGCCCACAGAAGAGAAAAGCAAUUGAUUCACCCACUGUGCUGUCAACAAACCCCCUGAUGAUUUAGCGCUUUUGUAACCGAGCAGUUUUUAAACAUUCACAGUGCAGGCUGAGGAGGAAAACUACAGACACAGCUGCAUGGCUUUUUCCUUUUCUCUCUUUUUCAGAUGAAAAAUAAAUAAAUAAAAGGACGCAUCCAUUGCUUUCCUUUAAUCUGAGUCUUUGCAGCAGUGAUUGCUCAGUAAUGUGCAAUAAAACAGAUUUGCACGGCUCAUAAAGAGCCAGGCUCGUUUUCGUUACCCUAGGGAGAAUGUUGACAGAGCAGUGUGUUCGUUGGAAGUAGCCUUGAUUGGGCUCUGGAUGCCACAGCUUCUCUGCAGCCAGAUUAGGCCAAAGCCAAGUGAGUUUGGGGAAGAUUCCUCUGCAGGAAAGCUCUGUUGAAGUUCCUAGUCACCAAAAUCCACACAGGUCCACUCUGGAGAGCUGCUACUGGAAGGGCAGUGGGUUCCUGCAGCAUCACCCAGAGCCUGGCCUCGCAAACACAAGGUUCUGGUCUUUCACCUGAAUAUCCCCUCUGCAGUUUAGAUCUUUACACCUGCUUCUUCAGCUUUGUGCUGCGGUAUCUAAUGACACCCCUCAGGUAUUUUCAGCAUGUUUUCUCUCCUCCUCCUCAAAUGUAGUUCGGUGAAGUUCUGCAUAGGCCAAUCUCUCAUUUUUUUCUGCACAGAAUAUGACAAGCACCUGAACUCCACUGUUACAGAACAAGAUGGGGCAGGGUGAAGAGUCUGAACAGAACGUGAGCAGCCCUGCCAGCUACUAGAGGGAGGCCAGUUCUUCAAGUUUUCUAUUACUUAAUAUAUUUGGUCUUUUUUUUCCCAGAUUGUCAGUUCUUCCAUGAAAAAGACACGUCCAGAGCUUUGUUCUCUAUUUCAGGUCAAGUGCCCCAGUAGCCAUCUCAACACCAGUUUCCGGUGUGGCCCCUCUGGGUGGUUUUGCUGUACCUCUAGCUGUACGGCUCACCCUUUUUUACAACUCCUUGGCAUCGCCACACAGAGCCAGCUCAUAAUUUCACCUGUG